rnacentral:tRNA from 1 species
GCCGCUAUAGCUCAGCUGGUAGAGCAAGAAAUUUGUAAUUUCGAGGUCCCGGGUUCGAUCCCUGGUGGCGGCA